rfam:Stegodyphus mimosarum contig67911, whole genome shotgun sequence.
GCCUUCGUGGUGUAGUGAUCAGCACACUCAGCGCGUAUUCGAGAGGUCCUUGGUUCGAGUCCCGGCGAAAGCA